rnacentral:rRNA from 1 species
AUUGAACGCUGGCGGCAUGCCUAACACAUGCAAGUCGAACGAGUGGCGGACGGGUGAGUAAUAUCUGGGAAACUGCCUGAUGGAGGGGGAUAACUACUGGAAACGGUAGCUAAUACCGCAUACCAUCGGAUGUGCCCCGAUCGGAUUAGCUAGUUGGUGGGGUAACGGCUCACCUAGGCAACGAUCCAUAGCUGGUCUGAGAGGACGACCAGCCACACUGGAACUGAGACACGGCCCAGACGCCUACGGGAGGCAGCAGUGGGGAAUAUUGCACAAUGGGGGAAAGCCUGAUGCAGCCAUGCCGCGUGUAUGAAGAAGGCCUUCGGGUUGUAAAGUACUUUCAGCGGGGAGGCGUUAUCUGCAGAAUAAGCACCGGCUAACUCCGUGCCAGCAGCCGCGGUAAUAC